UACGUAGGGUGCGAGCGUUUAAUCGGAAUUACUGGGCGUAAAGCGUGCGCAGGCGGUUUUGUAAGCCAGAUGUGAAAUCCCCGGGCUUAACCUGGGAAUGGCAUUUGGGACUGCAAAGCUUGAGUGCGGCAGAGGGGACUGGGAAUUCCUGGUGUAGCAGUGAAAUGCGUAGAGAUCAGGAGGAAUACCGAUGGCGAAGGCAGGUCCCUGGGCUCGA
rnacentral:rRNA from 1 species